rnacentral:rRNA from 1 species
AUACGGAGGGUGCAAGCGUUAAUCGGAAUCACUGGGCGUAAAGCGCGCGCAGGCGGUCUUUUAAGUUGGAUGUGAAAGCCUACGGCUCAACCGUAGAACUGCAUCCAAAACUAUUAGACUAGAGUGUGGGAGAGGAAGAUGGAAUUAGUUGUGUAGGGGUAAAAUCCGUAGAGAUAACUAGGAAUACCAAAAGCGAAGGCAAUCUUCUGGAACACUACUGACGCUGAGGCGCGAAAGCGUGGGGAGCAAACAGGAUUAGAAACCCCAGUAGUCC